UGACAACCUCGUUGGUGGCAUUCUUAAGGAGUGCAUGCUUAUGGGUGGACUAGGGCAGUUUCCAGUUGUCAGGACGUAGAAACUCCUGGCCUGAGCAGCAAGAAUAUCACCCUGUCUAUAGACUCCUGGAUGCUGCCCGGGACACUGGCAAAGGGACAGACUGACACAGGUGGGAGCUUAGCUUAGUGGAGUCCAGAAUGGUGUAUGGAGGUGCAAAGGUUUAAAAACAACACCCAGUGGGAACAACAGCAUGUGCACGUGCAGCGAGAGAGAAAGUACAAGUGAAAGAAGAGUCGAAACCCCUGACUAGUGCAAAGAUUGUUUCUAAAUGAAUCCAAGACCUAAGUGUCAAAACUGCCUAAUCACGACAAAGAAAUGAAGAAAAUCUUAAUGGCCUCGUGACUUGGAAAUUAUGCGUAGGACAUAUCUGCAGUUAAAACGUCUACUCCGAAAGACACACCUAAAAGACAAAGGGGCUGGAGCAAUGGCUCAACUGUUAAGAACGCUUGCUCUUCCAGUACAGCUCUGGGGCUCUCGUCGGCCGCCCGGAGGUCAGCCGACUGUCACCUGGGCCACCCGUACCGCUACUGCCUGGUUGGCAGGCAACUCCGAAAGUAUGCCAGGCAUCUUUGCAAGGGUGGGGCAGCACAAAGUCAGACCAGAUCCAAAGCAGAAACAAUCUGAUACCCAUCACUAAUAGACUGGACGGAACAGAUAAACCAUGAUAAUACAAUAGAAACAAGUGAAAAUAAGCUACCCACAGUCAUAUGGAUAUUUAGGUUAUAUAGCCUUUGCUCACUGUGGUUUGAUGUCUGAAAGAGAACAUUAAAGACCUCAGUUCAUAGUUCUUUCUUGUCAUGUGACCUAAUGUCUCCUCUCAAAAUAAAAGGUAGAAUAUA